rnacentral:tRNA from 1 species
AUUUAAAUAGCUUAUAUUAGAGUGUAACAUUGAAGCUGUUAAGGAGAUUAAAUAAUCUUUAAAUA